AGAGUUUGAUCAUGGCUCAGGAUGAACGCUGGCGGCGUGCCUAACACAUGCAAGUCGAGCGAUUUUCUUCGGAAGAGAGCGGCGGACGGGUGAGUAACGCGUGGGUAACCUGCCUCAUACACAUGGAUAACAUACCGAAAGGUAUGCUAAUACAAGAUGAUAUAAGAGAUUCGCAUGGAUUUCUUAUCAAAGCUCCGGCGGUAUGAGAUGGACCCGCGUCUGAUUAGCUAGUUGGUAAGGUAACAGCUUACCAAGGCGACGAUCAGUAGCCGACCUGAGAGGGUGAUCGGCCACAUUGGAACUGAGACACGGUCCAAACUCCUACGGGAGGCAGCAGUGGGGAAUAUUGCACAAUGGGCGAAAGCCUGAUGCAGCAACGCCGCGUGAGCGAUGAAGGCCUUCGGGUCGUAAAGCUCUGUCCUCAAGGAAGAUAAUGACGGUACUUGAGGAGGAAGCCCCGGCUAACUACGUGCCAGCAGCCGCGGUAAUACGUAGGGGGCUAGCGUUAUCCGGAUUUACUGGGCGUAAAGGGUGCGUAGGUGGUUUCUUAAGUCAGGAGUGAAAGGCUACGGCUCAACCGUAGUAAGCUCUUGAAACUGGGAAACUUGAGUGCAGGAGAGGAAAGUGGAAUUCCUAGUGUAGCGGUGAAAUGCGUAGAUAUUAGGAGGAACACCAGUAGCGAAGGCGGCUUUCUGGACUGUAACUGACACUGAGGCACGAAAGCGGGGGGAGCAAACAGGAUUAGAUACCCUGGUAGUCCACGCCGUAAACGAUGAGUACUAGGUGUCGGGGGUUCACCCCCC
rnacentral:rRNA from 1 species